UGGGGAAUAUUGCGCAAUGGGCGAAAGCCUGACGCAGCGACGCCGCGUGAGGGAUGACGGCCUUCGGGUUGUAAACCUCUUUCAGCAGGGACGAAGCGCAAGUGACGGUACCUGCAGAAGAAGCACCGGCCAACUACGUGCCAGCAGCCGCGGUAAUACGUAGGGUGCAAGCGUUGUCCGGAAUUAUUGGGCGUAAAGAGCUCGUAGGCGGCCUGUCGCGUCGGCUGUGAAAACCCGGGGCUCAACCCCGGGCCUGCAGUCGAUACGGGCAGGCUAGAGUCCGGUAGGGGAGACUGGAAUUCCUGGUGUAGCGGUGAAAUGCGCAGAUAUCAGGAGGAACACCGGUGGCGAAGGCGGGUCUCUGGGCCGGAACUGACGCUAAGGAGCGAAAGCGUGGGGAGCGAACA
rnacentral:rRNA from 1 species